CCUACGGGUGGCAGCAGUGGGGGAUAUUGCACAAUGGGGGAAACCCUGAUGCAGCGACGCCGCGUGGGUGAAGAAGCGCCUCGGCGCGUAAAGCCCUGUCAGCAGGGAAGAAAAUGACGGUACCUGAAGAAGAAGCCCCGGCUAACUACGUGCCAGCAGCCGCGGUAAUACGUAGGGGGCAAGCGUGAUCCGGAUUUACUGGGGGUAAAGGGGGCGUAGACGGCGAUGCAAGCCAGGAGUGAAAGCCCGGGGCCCAACCCCGGGACUGCUCUUGGAACAGGGUGGCUAGAGUGCAGGAGGGGCAGGCGGAAUUCCUGGUGUAGCGGUGAAAUGCGUAGAUAGCAGGAGGAACACCGGUGGCGAAGGCGGCCUGCUGGACUGCAACUGACGUUGAGGCCCGAAAGCGUGGGGAGCAAACAGGAUUAGAUACCCGGGUAGUC
rnacentral:rRNA from 1 species